GAUGAACGCUGGCGGCGUGCCUAAUACAUGCAAGUCGAGCGAACGGACGAGAAGCUUGCUUCUCUGAUGUUAGCGGCGGACGGGUGAGUAACACGUGGAUAACCUACCUAUAAGACUGGGAUAACUUCGGGAAACCGGAGCUAAUACCGGAUAAUAUUUUGAACCGCAUGGUUCAAUAGUGAAAUACGGUCUUGCUGUCACUUAUAGAUGGAUCCGCGCUGCAUUAGCUAGUUGGUAAGGUAACGGCUUACCAAGGCAACGAUGCAUAGCCGACCUGAGAGGGUGAUCGGCCACACUGGAACUGAGACACGGUCCAGACUCCUACGGGAGGCAGCAGUAGGGAAUCUUCCGCAAUGGGCGAAAGCCUGACGGAGCAACGCCGCGUGAGUGAUGAAGGUCUUCGGAUCGUAAAACUCUGUUAUUAGGGAAGAACAAAUGUGUAAGUAACUGUGCACAUCUUGACGGUACCUAAUCAGAAAGCCACGGCUAACUACGUG
rnacentral:rRNA from 1 species